UGAAAGUAAGUGUCCAUUGUCUCUUAAAGCUCGAAGUACAUUGUGUCAGAUCGAGCAUCUCGAAAACCGUGGAGUUUAUCGGUUCAGGACACGCUAUAGUUUUGACUGAAAUUUGUUCUCAUGCACAUCUCAAUAUAUUCUCAAAUAAGAUUUGCGUUUCAAAAGAUUGUAUCGUGAAAAUUAAACUUUUCGAUACUGUUUCUAACAUGCCUGAUGCAGUUGGGACACAACAACAAAAGAGCAAAUGUUCAGAUUUAUAUGACAAAAGCUCUAACAGCUUCUAAUAAUUACAAAAGACAUUCGUAUUCGAUAUACAUGUUUUAAAAAAUUAUUAUUUUUAAAUCAUUCUAAACAUAUAAAUCCCAAACUUAUCUACAGCAAACAAUAAGUGAACGAAAAUAUUGCCUGUUUCAUCGCUAAAAACAACACUCAAUUGUAAACCUUUAUUUCAUCAGUGUAAAGCUGGAUAUAUCCAUAAAAACAAAUAUAUAUUGCAUUUAUUCGGACUUUGUAGUAUUUUUGUUUUUUGUCCUGCUCUAACAAGCUUUUCGAGAGCCAUCUGGAACGAGAUUUUUAAUUUCCACCGGUCGAACUUUGCUUGUUUAAUUUUAUUUGUCUCGUCGAGUAAUCCCGUUGAUAUUCGUUUAUUUUUGCAGCUUUUAACUUUCCUCUUUUGCCUGACCCUUUCAUCUUUCUGAAAUUCCAAUAAUGUGUUGCAGACUUUGAUGACUCUUAAAACCUCACUCGGGUUGAUUGUAUUACAUUUUUAAUUACUCUUUCAUUCGAUAUAUUACCGUGAAUUUCAUUUUAGGAAAGUGAUGGGGAGAAAAGUGACCAGGACCUGGUUGUGGAUGUAGCUAACGAGGAGGUUACAUCGCCGCAUACGAAUGGAGACCAUGUACCGUUAGGUAACCCAAACGACAUCCGAGAAAAUGGGAACUCAAGUAACGAUAAGAACAAGUCUGACCGUCCACCCAGCCGCAGCGGAUCGUCGUCAUCGCGGAGUACCCCUUCGCUCAAAAGUAAAGAUGAAAAACCCCUGACGCCUGGUUCGAAACCUCGUUCAACGACGCCUAACCUUGUGUCAGGAAGUGGUCCACCGGGCAGUUCAAAACCACUUCCCGGUGGUCCACUUGGGCCAUAUCCCAGCUAUCCAGCCUUGGGAACUCCAAGAACUCCAGACCAUCAAAUGUCUCCUUAUGCGCAGCCGAAUUCUUAUGGGCGGCAGCCUCAACCGGUGAGUGGUUUCUAUGACAGUGCGGUCCAACUCCGAAAUUCAUCAACGAACGGUGUAGGAACUGCAGUUCCAGGAGGAAAACCGUAAGUUCAUAAUAAUACUAAGUAAAUCAUUCUACCA
rnacentral:lncRNA from 1 species